CAGUCGCCGCGGGAAUACGAAGGGGGCAAGCGUUGCUCGGAAUCACUGGGCGUAAAGCGCACGUAGGCGGGUUGUUAAGUCAGAGGUGAAAUCCUGGAGCUCAACUCCAGAACUGCCUUUGAUACUGGCGACCUUGAGUUCGAGAGAGGUUGGUGGAACUGCGAGUGUAGAGGUGAAAUUCGUAGAUAUUCGCAAGAACACCAGUGGCGAAGGCGGCCAACUGGCUCGAUACUGACGCUGAGGUGCGAAAGCGUGGGGAGCAAACAGGAUUAGAUACCCCCGUAGUCCCUGUCUCUUAUAC
rnacentral:rRNA from 1 species